UGGGGAAUUUUGGACAAUGGGCGAAAGCCUGAUCCAGCAAUGCCGCGUGUGUGAAGAAGGCCUUCGGGUUGUAAGGCACUUUUGUCCGGAAAGAAAUCCUUGGCUCUAAUACAGUCGGGGGAUGACGGUACCGGAAGAAUAAGCACCGGCUAACUACGUGCCAGCAGCCGCGGUAAUACGUAGGGUGCAAGCGUUAAUCGGAAUUACUGGGCGUAAAGCGUGCGCAGGCGGUUUGCUAAGACCGAUGUGAAAUCCCCGGGCUCAACCUGGGAACUGCAUUGGUGACUGGCAGGCUAGAGUAUGGCAGAGGGGGGUAGAAUUCCACGUGUAGCAGUGAAAUGCGUAGAGAUGUGGAGGAAUACCGAUGGCGAAGGCAGCCCCCUGGGCCAAUACUGACGCUCAUGCACGAAAAGCGUGGGGAGCAAAACAGGAUUAGAUACCCUGGUAGUCCACGCCCUAAAACGAUGUCAACUAGUUGUUGGGGAUUCAUUUCCUUAGUAACGUAGCUAACGCGUGAAGUUGACCGCCUGGGGAGUACGGUCGCAAGAUUAAAACUCAAAGGAAUUGACGGGGUCAUAGCUGUUUCCU
rnacentral:rRNA from 1 species